rnacentral:ncRNA from 1 species
UCCCGUUGCAUGUGCGGGUUAUCGCAUGCACCUCCCUGUUGGACUGACCCGGGCUUCGGCCUGGGUCUUUUU